rnacentral:rRNA from 1 species
GUGUCAGCAGCCGCGGUAAUACGGAGGGUGCAAGCGUUGUCCGGAUUUAUUGGGUUUAAAGGGUGCGCAGGUGGGUAUUUAAGUCUGGUUUGAAAGCAGGUGGCUCAACCAUCUGAUGUGGCUGGAAACUGGAUAUCUUGAAUGGGUUGGCGGUAGCCGGAAUGGGUCAUGUAGCGGUGAAAUGCAUAGAUAUGACCCGGAACACCGAUUGCGAAGGCAGGCUACUACGACUUGAUUGACACUGAGGCACGAGAGCAUGGGUAGCGAACAGGAUUAGAAACCCGUGUAGUCC